GCCGGGUGUGGUGGUGCUCGCCUGUAAUCCCAGCUACUUGGGAGGCUGAGGCAGAAGAAUUGCUUGAACCCGGGAGGUGGAGGAUGCAGUGAGUCGAGGUAGUGCCACUGCAUUCCAGCCUGGGUGACAGAGCAAGACUCCAUCUCAA
ensembl:misc_RNA Metazoa_SRP Metazoan signal recognition particle RNA